UAUCAGAAGUGCGAAUGCUGACAUAAGUAACGAUAAAGCGGGUGAAAAGCCCGCUCGCCGGAAGACCAAGGGUUCCUGUCCAACGUUAAUCGGGGCAGGGUGAGUCGACCCCUAAGGCGAGGCCGAAAGGCGUAGUCGAUGGGAAACGGGUUAAUAUUCCCGUACUUGGUGUUACUGCGAAGGGGGGACGGAGAAGGCUAUGUUGGCCGGGCGACGGUUGUCCCGGUUUAAGCGUGUAGGUGUGUGUUCCAGGUAAAUCCGGUUCACUUUAACACUGAGGCGUGAUGACGAGGCACCACGGUGCUGAAGCAACAAAUGCCCUGCUUCCAGGAAAAGCCUCUAAGCAUCAGGUAACAUCAAAUCGUACCCCAAACCGACACAGGUGGUCAGGUAGAGAAUACCAAGGCGCUUGAGAGAACUCGGGUGAAGGAACUAGGCAAAAUGGUGCCGUAACUUCGGGAGAAGGCACGCUGACACGUAGGUGAAGUGAUUUACUCAUGGAGCUGAAGUCAGUCGAAGAUACCAGCUGGCUGCAACUGUUUAUUAAAAACACAGCACUGUGCAAACACGAAAGUGGACGUAUACGGUGUGACGCCUGCCCGGUGCCGGAAGGUUAAUUGAUGGGGUCAGCGCAAGCGAAGCUCCUGAUCGAAGCCCCGGUAAACGGCGGCCGUAACUAUAACGGUCCUAAGGUAGCGAAAUUCCUUGUCGGGUAAGUUCCGACCUGCACGAAUGGCGUAAUGAUGGCCAGGCUGUCUCCACCCGAGACUCAGUGAAAUUGAACUCGCUGUGAAGAUGCAGUGUACCCGCGGCAAGACGGAAAGACCCCGUGAACCUUUACUAUAGCUUGACACUGAACAUUGAGCCUUGAUGUGUAGGAUAGGUGGGAGGCUUUGAAGCGUGGACGCCAGUCUGCGUGGAGCCGACCUUGAAAUACCACCCUUUAAUGUUUGAUGUUCUAACGUGGACCCGUAAUCCGGGUUGCGGACAGUGUCUGGUGGGUAGUUUGACUGGGGCGGUCUCCUCCUAAAGAGUAACGGAGGAGCACGAAGGUUGGCUAAUCCUGGUCGGACAUCAGGAGGUUAGUGCAAUGGCAUAAGCCAGCUUGACUGCGAGCGUGACGGCGCGAGCAGGUGCGAAAGCAGGUCAUAGUGAUCCGGUGGUUCUGAAUGGAAGGGCCAUCGCUCAACGGAUAAAAGGUACUCCGGGGAUAACAGGCUGAUACCGCCCAAGAGUUCAUAUCGACGGCGGUGUUUGGCACCUCGAUGUCGGCUCAUCACAUCCUGGGGCUGAAGUAGGUCCCAAGGGUAUGGCUGUUCGCCAUUUAAAGUGGUACGCGAGCUGGGUUUAGAACGUCGUGAGACAGUUCGGUCCCUAUCUGCCGUGGGCGCUGGAAGACUGAGGGGGGCUGCUCCUAGUACGAGAGGACCGGAGUGGACGCAUCACUGGUGUUCGGGUUGUCAUGCCAAUGGCACUGCCCGGUAGCUAAAUGCGGAAAAGAUAAGUGCUGAAAGCAUCUAAGCACGAAACUUGCCCCGAGAUGAGUCUUCCCUGAGACCUUGAGUCUCCUGAAGGAACGUUAAAGACGAUGACGUUGAUAGGCCGGGUGUGUAAGCGCAGCGAUGCGUUGAGCUAACCGGUACUAAUGAACCGUGAGGCUUAACCUUACAACGCCGAAG
rnacentral:rRNA from 5 species